CCUACGGGAGGCAGCAGUGAGGAAUAUUGGUCAAUGGACGAGAGUCUGAACCAGCCAAGUAGCGUGAAGGAUGACUGCCCUAUGGGUUGUAAACUUCUUUUAUCUGGGAAUAAAAUGUUCCACGUGUGGGUUUUUGUAUGUACUAUAUGAAUAAGGAUCGGCUAACUCCGUGCCAGCAGCCGCGGUAAUACGGAGGAUCCGAGCGUUAUCCGGAUUUAUUGGGUUUAAAGGGUGCGUAGGUGGAUUGUUAAGUCAGUUGUGAAAGGUUGCGGCUCAACCGUAAAAUUGCAGUUGAAACUGGCAGUCUUGAGUACAGUAGAGGUAGGCGGAAUGCGUGGUGUAGCGGUGAAAUGCUUAGAUAUCGCGAAGAACUCCGAUUGCGAAGGCAGCUCACUGGACUGCAACUGACACUGAGGCUCGAAAGUGUGGGUAUCAAACAGGAUUAGAUACCCUAGUAGUC
rnacentral:rRNA from 1 species